rnacentral:rRNA from 1 species
UCGAACGGCAGCACGGGGCAAACCNCUGGUGGCGAGUGGCGAACGGGUGAGUAAUACAUCGGAACGUGUCCUGUAGUGGGGGAUAGCCCGGCGAAAGCCGGAUUAAUACCGCAUACGCUCGAGAGAGGAAAGUGGGGGAUCUUCGGACCUCACGCUAAAGGGGCGGCCGAUGGCAGAUUAGCUAGUUGGUGGGGUAAAGGCCUACCAAGGCGACGAUCUGUAGUUGGUCUGAGAGGACGACCAGCCACACUGGGACUGAGACACGGCCCAGACUCCUACGGGAGGCAGCAGUGGGGAAUUUUGGACAAUGGGGGCAACCCUGAUCCAGCAAUGCCGCGUGUGUGAAGAAGGCCUUCGGGUUGUAAAGCACUUUUGUCAGGGAAGAAAAGGGCGUCCCUAAUAUGGAAGCCUGAUGACGGUACCUGAAGAAUAAGCACCGGCUAACUACGUGCC